rnacentral:lncRNA from 1 species
GGCAACUAUCUAUAACCUUCUCAACCCGACCUAAACGUUAGACCCAAAUUUGAAAAAUUACAUUAGCCAUCGAAGUUUUGAAAACUAUCCUAGUAAGCUAUCGGAGUUUUGAAAACUAUCAUUUUAAAUUAUUUGUUUAAAUUAGUAGAAAACUUAGUUAAAUGUCAAUUAAUUUUUCCUAAAAAAAUUAUAAAUUAGCAGUGGAAAAAAGUUAAGUGAUUGUUUUUAAUAAAACCGGGGAUUCAUGCAUAACUCAAUAAUAAACAUAUCUUGUUAUCCUAAAAUUAAAUUAAGUGUCAUGCAAUAUAAAACUCAAAUCCUAAAUCUCACGCCAUAGUUCAAAAUAAAAUAAUAAUACAAACUUUGAAUAAUGAAUAUCAAAUAAUAUAUCUAAAAAUAUUUUAGGAAAACCGAGCUGAGACCCUCUGGAUGUCAUGCCCGUGUCCUAACUUGGCAAGUUAUUUGUAAGGAUGAAAAUUAAAGGGAGAGUGAGCUGUGACGCUCAGUGUGAGUUCCAUCACAAGUAAAUUAGUGCUAAUCAGUAGUCAAAUCAUAAGUAAUAACUGUCGAAACCAUUUUUAAAUUUGAAAAACGGGAGUCGACUUAAAAACAAAAAAUGGAGUCGCCACCGAUCUUUUCCAAGGUGUGAUCGAAUCACCUUGAGUUUGAUCAUUUUAAUAAAACAUUUUGAUUUAUUAAAACGAUGAUUUUGAUCUACGAAAUUCGAGAAUAAAGGUUCGGGAGUCGGUUGAACACGAGGAAGGGUUAGCACCCUCGUAACGACCAAAAUUGGUACCGAAUUGAUUAAUUAAUGUCUUAAUGUCAAAAAUUUGAAAAGAUUUUAGAAUGCGAUCCUUUUAUUUAAAAAGAACACUAGAGUAAAUUAAAUUGGAUGCUAAGACCCUCUUAUUUCGAAAAAUGAAAUGUCAUACCCAGUGAGUUAGGAUACAACAUUUCACAUUUUCGAAACUGAGCUUGUCUUUUGAUUUUUAAAACUCAUGCAGUGAAGUUUUAAAAGGAUAUUCAAUUAUUUCGGUCAAAUGAAAAGUCGGAACCCAGUAAGUUAGGGCACGAUUUCUCAAAAUUCCAAAUAUUGAAUAUUGCCUUUAUUUCUUAGAAAUCAUUAUCUCGAGAUACAAAAUGUCAUAUCCAGUGAGUUAGGACACAACACCUCGAAUUCCUGAGAAUAAGCUUUUAUUUGAAACUUACGUUUUGAUUGAAA